rnacentral:rRNA from 1 species
UACGGGGGGGGCAAGCGUUGUUCGGAAUUACUGGGCGUAAAGGGCCAGUAGGCGGCCAACUAAGUCGGAUGUGAAAUCCCCAGGCUUAACCUGGGAACUGCAUCCGAUACUGGAUGGCUUGAAUUCGGGGAGAGGGAUGCAGAAUUCCAGGUGUAGCGGUGAAAUGCGUAGAUAUCUGGAGGAAUACCGGUGGCGAAGGCGGCAUCCUGGACCGACAUUGACGCUGGAACGGCGAAAGCUAGGGGAGCGAAACAGG